rnacentral:rRNA from 1 species
UGGGGAAUAUUGCACAAUGGGCGCAAGCCUGAUGCAGCCAUGCCGCGUGUGUGAAGAAGGCCUCGGGUUGUAAAGCACUUUCAGCGAGGAGGAAGGUGGUGAACUUAAUACGUUCAUCAAUUGACGUUACUCGCAGAAGAAGCACCGGCUAACUCCGUGCCAGCAGCCGCGGUAAUACGGAGGGUGCAAGCGUUAAUCGGAAUUACUGGGCGUAAAGCGCACGCAGGCGGUUUGUUAAGUCAGAUGUGAAAUCCCCGGGCUCAACCUGGGAACUGCAUUUGAAACUGGCAAGCUAGAGUCUCGUAGAGGGGGUNGAAUUCCAGGUGUAGCGGUGAAAUGCGUAGAGAUCUGGAGGAAUACCGGUGGCGAAGGCGGCCCCC